AAGCUCAGCACUCAGGCGAAUACAAGCGCGCGAGAAUGAGGGGAAUAGUCUGGGAGAUUCAAGCUAGAGAAAGUCUCGAGAUCGAAGAUUCAAGCUCGCAGAACCCACUCAAUUGCUCGAACAACAUUUAAUCUCGUAGAGAGACUGGAGCACGAAUCUGAUAUCCCCCCUGUGAGCCCAAUGCGUGUUAUGCCUCUAUAUGCAAUGCUUCCUGCAUCUGCUCAGCUUCAAGUAUUUAACAAGGUGAACGAUGGAGAGAGCCUAGUAGUUAUUGCCACAAAUGUUGCUGAGACCUCUUUAACCAUUCCAGGUACAAAGUAUGUGGUGGACACCGGAAGAGAAAAUGUGAAGAUGUACGAUUCUACAAAUGGAAUGGAAACAUAUAAUGUACAGUGGAUAAGUAAAGCAUCUGCUGCACAACGUGCUGGGAGAGCUGGAAGAACAGGGCCUGGCCACUGUUAUUGCCUCUAUUCUUCUACCAUGUUCAACAACUUUCACAAGUUCUCAAAUGCUGAAAUUUCUAAGAAUCCUGUUGAUGGAGUUGUCCUUCUCAUGAAGUCCAUGGGUAUCGAUAAGGUAUGCUUUCUUUUAUCAGAUCUAUUUGAGAUGUGACCUUUUACAAUACAUAGUUCUGUUUGAUCCGUACUUUAUCUGUAGAAAUUUCUGAGUAAAAAUUUGUGCAUAUUUUUUGUUGAAAUUAGAAAUAUUCUACACACAACAUACACGUAUCUAAUCGUGUGCCAAAGAAACUUUAUAGCUAUGUAUUUUUACUUGUUUUUUUUUUCUUAUGCAAUACAGUUAAAAAUUUGAACCCAAUAAAAUAUAUCAGGACACCGUUAUUUACGAAUCAUGCCAUGCGGGAUGGAUGCCAAUUGCCGAGUGUCUCAGCAAUCACACUGUUACAAAAGACAGCUAUUGUGCACAUUGUGCAACACUUAUUACACAGCCGCAUUGGAACUCUUCUAGAUGGCCCGGCACAUGCUUUGAAGCAUUCAUGGCCAUAGUAUCUUUUACGAGAAUGUUUGUGUGUAGACACACACACUUGUAUCACUGAGUAUGAUAGGUUCUUAAAGGAAACAUCACAAUAGUAGGGAAAAAACAUUAGCUGCAACUACAUUGGUCGCGGUUGAAUCCCAAUAGCAAAGCCUGGCAUUUCAAAGGUCUCGCAGAAUCCCAGCAACAAAGCCUGACUAUAAUGCAUGCAUAUAUGAGAACGAAGAAAAGAAUAAUGAGGCAACAGUGUUAUGUUCUUGAAAUUUGAAGAAAAGUAAAUACAAGGAUGACAGUCUUCUUAAAUUAAUUAGUUUUAAUUAUCUCUGUCUAGACUACAUACUUUUAUUUAGAUUAUGCCUUAGAAUUUAUUGACUAACUAUGUAUGCGACUUAGAUUUGGAAUGGUUUGUAAGACUUUGUAAAGGUCAUGGUACCGCUUUUGGAUUGUUGGCUGCUUGAUGCUAAUUGGGAUUCUGAAUAGACAAUUGAAAUUUGUGGCUAUGUAUGCCUGGCUAUUUGUA